rnacentral:rRNA from 1 species
UUUGGUUAUGCUGAUAAGAGCGUAUGGUGGAUGCCUUGGCACUAAGAGCCGAUGAAGGACGUGAUAAGCUGCGAAAAGCUUCGGGGAGGGGCAAAUACCCAUCGAUCCGGAGAUCUCCGAAUGGGGAAACCUGGCUGAGCAGACCUCAGUCAUCCCUAAGCCAAUCCAUAACUUAGGGAAGGGAACCCGGUGAACUGAAACAUCUAAGUAGCCGGAGGAAGAGAAAACAACAUGUGAUUCUGUGAGUAGCGGCGAGCGAAAACGGAAGAGCCCAAACCAUGGUGCGUGCACCGUGGGGUUCGGACCGCGGAAUUGAUCCAGCAAGUUUAGCAGAACAGUUUUGGGAAAGCUGACCAGAGAGGGUGAAAGUCCCGUAAGCGAAAGAUGAGCUGGCAUGGCGGUAUCCAGAGUAGGUCGAGACACGUGGAACCUUGACUGAACAUGCGGGGACCACCCCGUAAGGCUAAAUACUCCUUAGUGACCGAUAGCGCAUAGUACUGUGAAGGAAAGGUGAAAAGGACCCCGGGAGGGGAGUGAAAAAGAACCUGAAACCAUAUGUUUACAAGCUGUGGAAGAACUUUAUAUGUUCAACCGCGUACUUUUUGUAGAACGGUCCGGCGAGUUGCGCUGGCUGGCGAGGUUAAGGACUGAAGGUCCGGAGCCGAAGGGAAACCAAGUCUUAAUAGGGCCACAGUCAGUCGGAGCAGACCCGAAACCGGGUGAUCUACCCAUGUCCAGGUUGAAGUUGCCGUAAAAGGCAAUGGAGGACCGAACCCACAUCCGUUGAAAAGGGUGGGGAUGAGGUGUGGGUAGGGGAGAAAUUCCAAUCGAACCCGGAGAUAGCUGGUUCUCCUCGAAAUAGCUUUAGGGCUAGCCUCAUACGAGUCUUGCGGAGGUAGAGCACUGAAUUCCUGCGGGGGCGUCAAAGCUUACCAAGGGAUAUCAAACUCCGAAUGCCGUGUAGAUGAUGUAUGGGAGUCAGACUGUCCGAGAUAAGUUGGGCAGUCAAAAGGGAAAGAGCCCAGACCUGCAGCUAAGGCCCCAAAAUGUGUGUUAAGUGGAAAAGGAUGUGGGAUUUCGAAGACAACUAGGAUGUUGGCUUAGAAGCAGCCAUCCAUUAAAAGAGUGCGUAAUAGCUCACUAGUCGAGAGGUCCUGCGCCGAAAAUGUCCGGGGCUGAAACACACUGCCGAAGCUCAGGAACUUACGAACGUAGGUUGGUAGAGGAGCAUUCUUAACGGGACGAAGCGGUACCGGAAGGAGCCGUGGACUGUUAAGAAGAGAGAAUGCCGGAAUGAGUAGCGAGAGGAAGGUGGGAAUCCUUCCGGCCGAAUAUCUAAGGUUUCCAGGGUAAAGCUGAUCUGCCCUGGGUAAGUCGGGACCUAAGGCGAGGCCGAGAGGCGUAGCCGAUGGACAACAGGUUGAGAUUCCUGUACUAUCCUGUAACAGAACUGUGGGGACGCAGAAAGAGAGCGUGGGCCGGGAAUGGAAAGACCGGUGCAAGCGAGGUAGGAGUCGCACAGGCAAAUCCGUGCGGCAAUCCGAAGACGUGACGCGGACCGAAAACAAGUAGGGAAGCACGUGAGCUGGCUGCCAAGAAAAGCCGCUAUUGUUUGCAGGAUACCCGUACCGUAAACCGACACAGGUGGAUGAGGAGAGAAUCCUAAGGCCGACGGGAGAAGCAUUGUUAAGGAACUCGGCAAAAUGACUCCGUAACUUCGGGAGAAGGAGUGCCAGGGAGACCUGGCCGCAGAGAAUUGGCCCAAGCAACUGUUUAGCAAAAACACAGGUCUAUGCGAAACCGAAAGGUGAGGUAUAUGGGCUGACGCCUGCCCGGUGCUGGAAGGUUAAGGGGAGAGGUUAGCGCAAGCGAAGCUUUGAACUUAAGCCCCAGUAAACGGCGGCCGUAACUAUAACGGUCCUAAGGUAGCGAAAUUCCUUGUCGGGUAAGUUCCGACCCGCACGAAAGGCGUAAUGAUUUGGGCACUGUCUCAACAAUGCACCCGGUGAAAUUGAAAUACCAGUGAAGAUGCUGGUUACCUGCGCCAGGACGGAAAGACCCCAUGGAGCUUUACUCCAGCUUGAUACUGGGAUUCGGCAUUGCAUGUACAGGAUAGGUGGGAGGCUUUGAAGUGGUGACGCCAGUUGCCAUGGAGCCGCUGUUGGGAUACCACCCUUGCAGUGUUGGGUUUCUAACCAGCAGCCGUGAUCCGGCUGGGGGACAAUGUCAGGUGGGGAGUUUGACUGGGGCGGUCGCCUCCGAAAGGGUAUCGGAGGCGCUCAAAGGUUCCCUCAGAAUGGUCGGAAACCAUUCGGAGAGUGCAAAGGCAGAAGGGAGCUUGACUGCGACACCGACGGGUGGAGCAGGUACGAAAGUAGGACUUAGUGAUCCGGUGGUAUAAAGUGGGAUUGCCAUCGCUCAACGGAUAAAAGCUACCCUGGGGAUAACAGGCUUAUCACUCCCAAGAGUUCACAUCGACGGAGUGGUUUGGCACCUCGAUGUCGGCUCAUCGCAUCCUGGGGCUGUAGUCGGUCCCAAGGGUUGGGCUGUUCGCCCAUUAAAGCGGUACGCGAGCUGGGUUCAGAACGUCGUGAGACAGUUCGGUCCCUAUCCGGCGUGGGCGUAGGAUAUUUGAGAGGAGCUGUCCUUAGUACGAGAGGACCGGGAUGGACUGGCCGCUGGUGUAUCUGUUGUUCCACCAGGAGCAUAGCAGAGUAGCCAAGCCGGGAAGGGAUAAACGCUGAAGGCAUCUAAGCGUGAAGCCCCCCUCAAGAUGAGAUAUCCCAUAACGUCAAGUUAGUAAGACCCCUUGAAGACGACGAGGUAGAUAGGGCAGAGGUGGAAGUGCAGUAAUGCAUGGAGCUGACUGUUACUAAUCGGUCGAGGGCAUAACCAAAA